ncrna:unclassified sequences Streptococcus sRNA SpF59 (ldcC RNA)
GGACCACCCUUUCGGGUUUGAGGCCAUACGGACAGCCGGGUCCAAUGCCGA